rnacentral:lncRNA from 1 species
AAACCUCUUUGUGCUGCAACAUGUAUUUCUACUGGUAGUCACCAGACACAGACCCUUUCUGCCUCUCCCUGUACACACCAAAGAGCUAAAACUACAGACUGCAUUGUAUGAAGGAGGACUGCUGCCUACCUUAGGUCUAUGCAAAUCCCACCUCCUGGGCAGUAUUUUAAAACCAGAAGCUGAAGCUGGCAGUCUUCUAUCAGAAGCAGAUCUGCAUCUCAACGACUUCAGAUGCAAGGAAACGGUGAAAUUCCAGGAACUGAGAGCCAUCAGGGCACUGGCAAACGCAUUGACAUCCAUGAAAAGAAAUGGAUCGGGAGCUACCCAGCAUGCUUGCACGGUGAAAGAGGGCUGAUUGAUGGAAGCACAAUAAGACCAGGGUUUUAAACAAAGACAGCAUCAAAUUUCCUGUAGAAAAUGGGAACCGUUCUUGAAAGCAGUGGUUUUACUAGCAAAGAUCUUUGAACUUUUUGAAGCCAGCUUAUGUAGCUGUGCUCACAAAAGCAGAGACAGUCAUUUACCUGAAACAGGAAACCCAGCCUCUCACCACGGAGCAGUCCCCUGACAAAGGCACUGAAAAACACACUUCUUCUUCCCUGA